rnacentral:rRNA from 1 species
GGGUCAGUAGGAUGGUCGUGCCACCGGUACGUACUGGUCUCACUGAUUCCUCCUUCCUGAAGAACCGUAAUGCCAUUAAUUUGGUGUUGCGGGGAAACAGGACUGUUACUUUGAAAAAAUUAGAUUGUUUAAAGCCAGCUAACGCUUGAAUACAUUAGCAUGGAAUAAUGAAAUAGGACGAUCGAUCCUAUUUUGUUGGUUUCUAGGAUUGACGUA